rnacentral:rRNA from 1 species
GAUGAACGCUGGCGGCGUGCCUAAUACAUGCAAGUCGAGCGAACAGACGAGGAGCUUGCUCCUCUGACGUUAGCGGCGGACGGGUGAGUAACACGUGGAUAACCUACCUAUAAGACUGGGAUAACUUCGGGAAACCGGAGCUAAUACCGGAUAAUAUAUUGAACCGCAUGGUUCAAUAGUGAAAGACGGUUUUGCUGUCACUUAUAGAUGGAUCCGCGCCGCAUUAGCUAGUUGGUAAGGUAACGGCUUACCAAGGCAACGAUGCGUAGCCGACCUGAGAGGGUGAACGGCCACACUGGAACUGAGACACGGUCCAGACUCCUACGGGAGGCCGCAGUAGGGAAUCUUACGCAAUGGGCGAAAGCCGGACGGAGCAACGCCGCGUGAGGGAUGAAGGUCUUCGGAUCGUAAAACGCUGUUGUUAGGGAAGAACAAAUGUGUAAGUAACUAUGCACGUCUUGACGGUACCUAAUCAGAAAGCCACGGCUAACUACGUG